rnacentral:rRNA from 1 species
UACGGAGGGUGCAAGCGUUGUUCGGAAUCAUUGGGCGUAAAGCGCGUGUAGGCGGCUUGGCAAGUCGGUUGUGAAAGCCCGGGGGCCCAACCCCCGGAACUGCAUCUGAAAACUGCCUGGCUAGAGUCCCGGAGAGGAAGGCAGAAUUCCCGGUGUAGGGGUGAAAUCCGUAGAUAUCGGGGAGGGAAUACCAGCGGCGAAAGGCGGCCUUCUGGACGGUGACUGACGCUGAGACGCGAAAGCGUGGGGAGCAAACAGG